GAUGAACGCUAGCGGCAGGCUUAAUACAUGCAAGUCGAGGGACAGCACAGGUAGCAAUACUGGGUGGUAACCGGCAAACGGGUGCGGAACACGUACACAACCUUCCUUUAAGUGGGGGAUAGCCCAGAGAAAUUUGGAUUAAUACCCCGUAAUAUAGUUGAAUGGCAUCAUUUGAUUAUUAUAGCUACGGCGCUUAAUGAUGGGUGUGCGGCUGAUUAGAUAGUUGGCGGGGUAACGGCCCACCGAGUCUACGAUCAGUAGCUGAUGUGAGAGCAUGAUCAGCCACACGGGCACUGAGACACGGGCCCGACUCCUACGGGAGGCAGCAGUAAGGAAUAUUGGUCAAUGGACGCAAGUCUGAACCAGCCAUGCCGCGUGAAGGAUUAAGGUCCUCUGGAUUGUAAACUUCUUUUAUUUGGGACGAAAAAGGGUCUUUCUAGGUCAACUGACGGUACCAGAUGAAUAAGCACCGGCUAACUCCGUGCCAGCCGCCGCAGUAA
rnacentral:rRNA from 1 species